GAUCCAAAUCAAUAGGUUAAUUUGAGAUGUGUGAUUUGGUUACCAAAUGUUUAGAAAUUCACCAAACACUGGUCUAUUAUUGAUUUUCAAGCUAAUUUCAUUAUGUUCAGAGAAAGAGUGUGAUUUGAAUCUUUUUAAGUAUAUGAGAGGUGUUUUAUGGUUGCUCAGCAUUGCUCAGCAUUGCAAGGGAGAGUCUUAUUGCAGAUGGAUAGCCUGGGAGAAGAGCAAAACUUUUAAGAUCAUCUAUACACCAUCGAUAAGGCCUCAAACAAUGUCAUUCCAGCAAGUGAGAUCCUCACUAGCAAGGAGAUGUCACUCAUCAUACUUGCUGCUGUGCCAGCCCCACCCAGUGAUUCUUCUUCCUUUCCCACAUCUCCUCCAUCCAGAUACCACUGUUGUAGGAGACCAGCCCA